rnacentral:rRNA from 1 species
GUGUCAGCAGCCGCGGUAAUACAUAAGGAGCAAGCGUUGUCCGGAAUUAUUGGGCGUAAAGAGCUCGUAGGCGGUCUUAAAAGUCAGGUGUAAAAUUAUCAGGCUUAACUUGAUACGGUCGUCUGAAACUCUAAGACUUGAGGUUAGAAGAGGAAAGCGGAAUUCACGGUGUAGCGGUGAAAUGCGUAGAUAUCGGGAGGAACACCAGUGGCGAAGGCGGCUUUCUGGUCUAUCUCUGACGCUGAUGAGCGAAAGCUAGGGGAGCAAACGGGAUUAGAUACCCCGGUAGUCCUAGCUGUAAACGAUGGAUACUAGGUGUGGGAGGUAUCGACCCCUUCUGUGCCGCAGCUAACGCAUUAAGUAUCCCGCCUGGGGAGUACGGUCGCAAGGCUGAAACUCAAAUGAAUUGGCGGGG